rnacentral:rRNA from 1 species
GAUGAACGCUGGCGGCGUGCCUAAUACAUGCAAGUCGAGCGAACGGACGAGAAGCUUGCUUCUCUGAUGUUAGCGGCGGACGGGUGAGUAACACGUGGAUAACCUACCUAUAAGACUGGGAUAACUUCGGGAAACCGGAGCUAAUACCGGAUAAUAUUUUGAACCGCAUGGUUCAAAAGUGAAAGACGGUCUUGCUGUCACUUAUAGAUGGAUCCGCGCUGCAUUAGCUAGUUGGUAAGGUAACGGCUUACCAAGGCAACGAUGCAUAGCCGACCUGAGAGGGUGAUCGGCCACACUGGAACUGGGACACGGUCCAGACUCCUACGGGAGGGAGCAGUAGGGAAUCUUCCGCAAUGGGCGAAAGCCUGACGGAGCAACGCCGCGUGAGUGAUGAAGGUCUUCGGAUCGUAAAACUCUGUUAUUAGGGAAGAACAUAUGUGUAAGUAACUGUGCACAUCUUGACGGUACCUAAUCAGAAAGCCACGGCUAACUACGUG